ACACGGGAAAGGAGGUGGUCCGAAGAAUGAUUUCUCAUCGGAUGCGUGAGGUGGCUGCCCGCUAGCAGCCCAGCAGUACGAACCACUUCGGCUGCGUCGCGAAACCACAGCAGCCACCCGACCCGCAGGUGAGCCCGGACCAUCCACCGGGCGCGGUCCUCCCGGACCACUCCUGCGGGUCGCUGCUU
rnacentral:sRNA from 1 species